UAGCACCUGAAAAAUAGAUUGGUCAUUGGCAAUUGAAAGGGUAAUAAUACUUGUUAAUUUAAAGUGGAACAAAUGCAGUUUAGCGGAUGAAAGAAUUCUAUAAAAUCGUAUUUGAAAAGAGUAAUGAAUAAAUACAACACACACGACAAUAUGGUGAAAAAUAUCUGGUACAAAAGUUGCUAACACACGCAUAUACAACUAAAUUACUUGGUUAGUGGAUAGAAAAAUAAUAGGUACCAGCAGCUAAAGAGAUGUAAGGAUCGGUGACCAGAGAUUUGAGAGACGGUGGUUCCGCUUCGGUGUACACGACAGACGGUUGAAGCACCAGAAGUUGCAGAACUGGAAAUGGUAUUGUACAAAGUACAAUCGAUAAAUGUAAGAUAAAAUGGAAGUAAAUGAUGCGUAAGAAAAAGAUGAACACGGAGAAAUACUCACUUCCGUCGCCAAGGGCCAAUGCCGAAAGUACUAAGAAUGGAGCAGAUUUUCCGACAUAUUCGUACAUCGCGCCGCCAAAUGGAGGCCCGAUGAGAA